GACGAACGCUGGCGGCGUGCUUAACACAUGCAAGUCGAACGGAAAGGCCCUGCUUUCUUGGUGUGCUCGGGUGGCGAACGGGUGAGUAACACGUGAGUAACCUGCCCUUGACGUUGGGAUAACUUCGGGAAACUGGGGCUAAUACCGGAUAGGAUCUCCUGCUGCACGGUUGGGGGUGGAGCGUUUCGGCGGUUGGGUAGGGACUCGCGGCUUAUCAGCUUGUUGGUGGGGUAGUGGCUUACCAAGGCAUGGACGGGUAGCCGGCCUGAGAGGGUGACCGGCCACAUUGGGACUGAGAUACGGCCCAGACUCCUACGGGAGGCAGCAGUGGGGAAUAUUGCACAAUGGGCGGAAGCCUGAUGCAGCAACGCCGCGUGCGGGAUGACGGCCUUCGGGUUGUAAACCGCUUUCGCCUGUGACGAAGCGUGAGUGACGGUAAUGGGUAAAGAAGCACCGGCUAACUACGUG
rnacentral:rRNA from 1 species